UACGUAGGGUGCGAGCGUUGUCCGGAAUUAUUGGGCGUAAAGGGCUCGUAGGCGGUUUGUCGCGUCGGGAGUGAAAACACCGGGCUUAACUCGGUGCUUGCUUUCGAUACGGGCAGACUAGAGGUAUGCAGGGGAGAACGGAAUUCCUGGUGUAGCGGUGGAAUGCGCAGAUAUCAGGAGGAACACCGGUGGCGAAGGCGGGUCUCUGGGCAGUAACUGACGCUGAGGAGCGAAAGCGUGGGGAGCGAACAGG
rnacentral:rRNA from 1 species